GCCCAGGAAUGGGUGAUGGGCGGGGUGAAGGGGAAAGGAGGUGGGCCCAGGAAUGGGUGAUGGGCGGGGUGAAGGGGAAAGGAGGUGGGCCCAGGAAUGGGUGAUGGGCGGGGUGAAGGGGAAAGGAGGUGGGCCCAGGAAUGGGUGAUGGGCGGGGUGAAGGGGAAAGGAGGUGGGCCCAGGCAUGGGUGAUGGGCGGGGUGAAGAGGAAAGGAGGUGGGCCCAGGCAUGGGUGAUGGGCGGGGUGAAGGGGAAAGGAGGUGGGCCCAGGCAUGGGUGAUGGGCGGGGUGAAGGGGAAAGGAGGCGGGCCCAGGCAUGGGUGAUGGGCGGGGUGAAGGGGAAAGGAGGUGGGCCCAGGAAUGGGUGAUGGGCGGGGUGAAGGGGAAAGGAGGUGGGCCCAGGCAUGGGUGAUGGGCGGGGUGAAGGGGAAAGGAGGUGGGCCCAGGCAUGGGUGAUGGGCGGGGUGAAGGGGAAAGGAGGUGGGCCCAGG